rnacentral:rRNA from 1 species
AACAAACGCUGGCGGCGUGCCUAAUACAUGCAAGUCGAACGGGGUAGCAAUACCUAGUGGCGCACGGGUGAGUAACGCGUGGAUAAUCUGCCUUAGAGUGGGGGAUAACUAGGCGAAAGAUUAGCUAAUACCGCAUAAGACCACAAGAACUGCGGUUCAAGGGGUCAAAGGUUUUUCGCUCUAGGAUGAGUCCGCGUAAGAUUAGCUAGUUGGUGAGGUAAUGGCUCACCAAGGCGACGAUCUUUAACUGGUCUGAGAGGAUGAUCAGUCACACUGGAACUGAGACACGGUCCAGACUCCUACGGGAGGCAGCAGUAGGGAAUAUUGCACAAUGGAGGAAACUCUGAUGCAGCGACGCCGCGUGAGUGAUGAAGGCCUUCGGGUCGUAAAGCUCUGUCGCAGGGGAAUAACACAAUGAAUGUACCCUGUAAGAAAGGAUCGGCUAACUUCGUGCCAGCCGCCGCCGUAACAC